CUUGCUUGUCCCAUAUAAGCCCUAGACCACCAGCCAUCAGGGCCUGAUAUUUUGGGAAUGAUCCCAAUUAGUUGCCAUUAAUGUAAAUAUAUCUGCUUUCAAGUCUUAGAUGUGGUAUGCUGGUAUGCCAGCAAGGAAGACUGACCACGCUGCCCUCUUUGGUCAUCAGUCAUGGUCCUUGUGGACAGAGCAAGGCCUUGAUGGGAAGGCAUGCCCUUGAACUUUCUCAAGUGCCCUUGGAGAUCCGGGGGAGGAUUCCUGGCUCCCAGCUUGAGCAAUUCACAUCAGAUCCCAAAGGGAAGAGGAUGCAGUCUGUCUGUCUGCAUGCUUGCCUGCCUGCUUGCCUGCCUGCUUGAUUCUGGUUUUUUGUCUCUCCACACUGCUUUCUUCACACUUGUCAAAAGGAUCUUUUGAAAUGAAAUAUUCUGAAGCUUUCCCGUCAAGAUGGUGAAGACAGAUGGCAUAGAAUGAAGACACACUACAUAUGUGGGAAGAAGAGCUGAGGGAAGAGAUGGAUGGGUAGAAGAAUGCAUUUUAAAAUUUGACUCAGAGACAGGAGUGGUCCAUACUGGAUAGCCUCUUGAUGACCUGGUAAAUGACUUUUGCCAUCCCACAGUUUGGCCUUGCAGAAACCUCACUAGCCAAUGUAUCUAUGGAUGGAAUCACUUAUGACAUGAAAUCUAUAAAA